rnacentral:lncRNA from 1 species
GAAGCAGGCAGGGACGGAGAGGGGUGAUGGCGCGCCCACCCCUGCAGAGCCGCCUGCGCGGUUGUCCCGCGCGUCCCUGCCGGCGAAGGCUGUGAGAAGCACCGCGGGGCUACGGCGCCUCCAUCCUCUCUAACAGCCGCGCUUACCAGACAGCCAGCCUCCAGUGCUGCUAGGCUACUCCGAGCAGGGGAGAAAAGACACCGGUCCGCCGGGGACCAGGAGGGAGACGUGAAACCAGAGGCCCGGGGGCCCCCUCUCCGCCUGUGCGACUUGUAGUCUCGUACCAGACGCGUCCGCUUCGCUGCUGAAUCUGAAAACGUGGGCUCUUGAGAGCUGCCCUUGGAAGGAGCUGUGCUUUCUGCCUCAUCUUUAACUUUUCGUUUAUUCAGCAAAUAUGUAUCAAGUUCCGACUUCGUGGAAGAGAUUGUGUUAGACACUGGGAAUAAUAGAAACAUAAUUAAGAAGCAGGGGUCCCGGACCUGAAGGGCCUGAGCGUCGGGAAUUGGCUGAAGUAAUUAUGUAGGCUGAGAAGUCCCAGAAUCUGCAGUUCACAAGCUGGAGACCCAGGAGAGCCAAUAUGUCAUUUCAGUUCAAGUCCAAAGGCUGGAGAACCAGAAGAGCUGAUGGUUUAUUUCCCGUCUGAAAGCAAACAGGGUGGAGACCCAAGGAAAACAAAUGACUGAGUCCUACUGGGAAGGCUAGAAAAGAUGACGUCCCAAGUCAAUCAGUCUGGUGGGAGCAGUUUCCUCCUACUGAGACUUUUUUCCUAUUCAGGCCUUCGAUUGACUG